rnacentral:rRNA from 1 species
CAGCAGCCACGGGAAUACAGAGGGUGCAAGCGUUAAUCGGAAUUACUGGGCGUAAAGCGCGCGUAGGUGGUUUGUUAAGUUGGAUGUGAAAGCCCCGGGCUCAACCUGGGAACUGCAUCCAAAACUGGCAAGCUAGAGUACGGUAGAGGGUGGUGGAAUUUCCUGUGUAGCGGUGAAAUGCGUAGAUAUAGGAAGGAACACCAGUGGCGAAGGCGACCACCUGGACUGAUACUGACACUGAGGUGCGAAAGCGUGGGGAGCAAACAGGAUUAGAUACUCCGGUAGUCCCUGUCUCUUAUAC